GUAGGUGAACCUGCGGAGGGAUCAUUAACACGUGCCAAAACACGUUUAACCAAUCAUCUGUGAACACAAACCCAACUCCCUUUACAUAUGGACGAUCGAACAACCAUCAGGGUGGAGUGCGUGGAUAGGGAACAAUCGACCUUCGGGAAGACUCGCUAUCUCGCAACUAUGGCUCGGUCUAGGACUUCAGUGAGAGUCCAAUCCAGUGUGAAGCGAUGCGCGACUACCUGGCAGUGUGCCCUUUGCAUGG
rnacentral:misc_RNA from 1 species